rnacentral:rRNA from 1 species
UACAGAGGGUGCGAGCGUUGUUCGGAAUUAUUGGGCGUAAAGGGCGCGUAGGCGGUGCCACAAGUCACUUGUGAAAUCCCCGGGCUUAACUCGGGGCCUGCAGGCGAAACUGUGGUGCUGGAGUAUGGGAGAGGUGCGUGGAAUUCCCGGUGUAGCGGUGAAAUGCGUAGAUAUCAGGAGGAACACCGGUGGCGAAGGCGGUUUUCUGGGCAUUACCUGACGCUGAGGAGCGAAAGUGUGGGGAGCGAACAGG